rnacentral:rRNA from 1 species
AUUGAACGCUGGCGGCAGGCCUAACACAUGCAAGUCGAACGGUAACAGGAAGACGCUUGCUUCUUUGCUGACGAGUGGCGGACGGGUGAGUAAUGUCUGGGAAACUGCCUGAUGGAGGGGGAUAACUACUGGAAACGGUAGCUAGUACCGCAUAACGUCGCAAGACCAAAGAGGGGGACCUUCGGGCCUCUUGCCAUCGGAUGUGCCCAGAUGGGAUUAGCUAGUAGGUGGGGUAACGGCUCACCUAGGCGACGAUCCCUAGCUGGUCUGAGAGGAUGACCAGCCACACUGGAACUGAGACACGGUCCAGACUCCUACGGGAGGCAGCAGUGGGGAAUAUUGCACAAUGGGCGCAAGCCUGAUGCAGCCAUGCCGCGUGUAUGAAGAAGGCCUUCGGGUUGUAAAGUACUUUCAGCGGGGAGGAAGGGAGUAAAGUUAAUACCUUUGCUCAUUGACGUUACCCGCAGAAGAAGCACCGGCUAACUCCGUG